CCUGCGGAGAGUACUAGAACUUGUAAGUAGUGUUUGAAAAUUCAGAUAUGAAAGCAUACUCAAUGAAACAGGAA
rnacentral:sRNA from 12 species